GAGGGUAUAGCUCAAUGGUAGAGUGCAUGCUUAGCACGCACAGGGUCCUAGGUUCAAAUCCUAGUACCUCCA
rnacentral:tRNA from 1 species